rnacentral:rRNA from 1 species
UACGUAGGUGACCAGCGUUGUCCGGAUUUACUGGGCGUAAAGAGCGCGCAGGCGGUCGUGCAAGUCGAGUGUGAAAGCCCCCGGCUCAACUGGGGAGGGUCAUUCGAUACUGAUCGACUCGAAGGCAGGAGAGGGAAGCGGAAUUCCCGGUGUAGUGGUGAAAUGCGUAGAUAUCGGGAGGAACACCAGUGGCGAAGGCGGCUUCCUGGCCUGUUCUUGACGCUGAGGCGCGAAAGCUAGGGGAGCAAACAGG